rnacentral:tRNA from 1 species
UGCCCAGUGGCCAAAUUGGUAAGGCACCUGACUCUGGAUCAGGGAGGUGUAGGUUCGAGUCCUGCCUGGGCAGCCA